ACAGAGGGUGCGAGCGUUGUUCGGAAUUAUUGGGCGUAAAGGGCGCGUAGGCGGUGCGGUAAGUCACCUGUGAAAUCUCCUGGCUCAACUGGGAGCUUGCAGGCGAAACUGCCGUGCUGGAGUGUGGGAGAGGUGCGUGGAAUUCCCGGUGUAGCGGUGAAAUGCGUAGAUAUCGGAAGGAACAUCAGUGGCGAAAGCGACUUCCUGGACCAGUACCGACGUUCAGGCACGAAAGCGUGGGGAGCAAACAGGA
rnacentral:rRNA from 1 species